AUGGAUCAUCCAGGAAAUAUAGUAACCCAACUUAUCCAGGAAGAGCAUAGAUCUAAAUGGGUUGCACGUAGCAAUCAUAAUGUGACAUGUUUUACAGAAGCUGAGAUAAGGAGAUUUACCAACAACUAUGAAACUAUGCUUGGUAGAGGUGGUUUUGGAGAAGUUUAUGAAGGAGUCCUUGAGGACAAAAGUAUGGUUGCAGUCAAAAAGUUUAUCUACAAUGUAAAAGAAAAUUUUGCCAAAGAGUUGAUUGUCCACCGUGAAAUCAAUCACAAGAAUGUAGUCAGAUUAGUUGGCUACUGUGUAGAUGAAAAUGCCCUAAUGGUGGUCACGGAAUAUAUUCCUAAAGGAAAUCUGAGUAACAUUCUUCACCAUGAUAAUAUUCCCAUCGCUUUGGAUAUACGGCUAAGAAUUGCCAUUGAAUGUGCUGAAGCAUUGGCCUAUAUGCACUCACAAAUGUAUACCCAGGUCAUUCAUGGUGAUAUCAAGCCUGCUAAUAUACUUCUGGAUGAUGGACUCAGUGCAAAAAUAUCAGACUUUGGAAUAUCAAGGCUAGUCAACACUGAAAAUACUCUAUAUACUCUAAAUGUGAUAGGAAGUAUAGGCUACAUGGACCCUCUGUUUACUCAGAGUGGCCGCCUCACAGCGAAGAGUGAUGUUUAUAGUUUUGGAGUUGUGCUCCUGGAACUGAUAACCAGAAAAAAAGCAAGAACGGAGGACGGGAAGAUUGGCUUGGUAGAAAGUUUUAGUCAAUCUCUUUCAAAAGGGAUUAGGAGGGUGAGGGAGAUGUUUGAUCCUGAAAUUGUGACAUCGAGCGACAUGAAGACUAUUGAAGAGAUUGCUAAGUUGGCAGGUAAAUGCUUGAAGAUGGAACUUACCAAACGUCCUGCGAUGUUAGAAGUUGCAGAACGUCUUCGCAAACUUAAAAAAGCUCCACAUCAGGUACAAGAGAGACUUGCUCUAUUUUCUUGGAUAAGGAAAAAUAAACAAGAUCCAGCUGAAACACCAUCGCUCGAAAGCAGUAGCCGUAGUCAGAACAUGAGAACUGUGGCUCCAGUGAAAAUGACACCAUCACAAGAAAGCAAUGAUAUUAACCCCACAACGGCACUUUUACAGAAAAGCAGUAGCCAAAAUGUUGGAACUUUUAUCAUUAGUUCGACGCUGACAGGCCAAUCAUUUGAGCUGGAGGACCUGCUUCAGGCAUCGGCUGAAGUUCUGGGCAAGGGUACAGUCGGAACAACAUACAAAGCGACGCUUGAUAGUGGAUAUGAGCUGGUGGUCAAGAGGCUGAAGGAUGUGGUCUUGCCGAAGGCAGAGUUUGAGCAGCACGUCACGCAGAUUGGCGCCAUCCAGAACAAGCACGUUGUGCCACUGCGGUGGUAUUACUAUAGCAAGGAUGAGAAGAUGGUAGUGUAUGAUGUCAUCCUCAUGGGUAGCCUAGCAAAAGUGCUCUAUGGUGACCAAGGUUCUAGCCCAGCUCCACUGGACUGGGAGCAGCGGUCGGCCAUCUCACUUGCUGCUGCGCGUGGUGUGGAGUAUAUCCAUUUAGCUGGACCAUCAAGCUGUCAUGGCAACAUCAAGUCUUCCAACAUCCUGCUCACCGGCACCCACGAUGCAUGUGUGUCAGAGCAUGGCCUCAUAGCACUUGGCAUGUCUUCUAGUGUCUCGGGCUACCGCGCGCCUGAGCUCAUCAACAAUAGGCGGGUCUCUCAGAAAGCCGACGUGUACAGCUUCGGCGUCCUACUACUGGAGCUUCUCACCCGCAAGGCUCCAACAAAUAGCAGAAAGGAUCAGGAGGGAGUUGAUUUGCCACGGUGGGUGUGUUCCGUUGUACGCGAGGAGUGGACGGCGGAGGUGUUCGAUGUGGAGCUCAUCGGGCGAGAUCAGAAGGAUGGGGAAGAGGAGUGCAUGGUGCGACUUCUGCAGCUGGCCAUAAACUGUUGCAGUCAAGAUGCCAACUCGCGGCCUACAAUGCCUAAAGUUGUGCAACAGAUCGAAGAGAUCGGAAGAGAAAGUAAACUAGCUCCAGCCAAAACACCAUCUCUGGAAAGCAGUAGCAGUAGCCAAAACGUGAGAAUUGUAGCUCCAGCUGAAAAGACGCCAUCACAAGAAAGGAGUGGCAGUACCCCAAAAACGGGAAUUGUGGCUCCAGCCAAAGCGCUAUCGCAUUUAAGCAUGUCUUCACAAGAAAGCAGUGGCAGUACCCCAAAAACAGGAAUUGUGGCUCCAGCCAAAGCGCUAUCACAUUUAAGUAUACAAAAUGUGGGAACUUCUAUCAUUGGGUCGGCAAUGACAGGCCAAUUGUUCGACCUGAAAGACCUGAUUGGGGCAUCGACUGAAGUUCUGGGCAAGGGUACAGUCGGGACAACAUACAGAGCAACACUUGAUAGUGGAUAUGAGCUGGUGGUCAAGAGGUUGAAAGAUGUGGACUUGGGGGAGGCGAUCUUUGGGCGGCUUGUCAUGCUGUUUGGCACCAUCCAGAACAAACACGUAGCACCACUGCUGUGGUAUUACUGCAGCAAGGAUGAGAAGCUGCUCGUAUAUAAUAUCAUCCCCAUGGGUAGCCUAGCAAAAGCACUCCACGGUGAUCGUUUUUGUGGCCCAGCUCCAUUGGACUGGGAGCAGCGGUCAGCCAUCUCACUUGCUGCUGCGCGCGGUGUGGCGGCUAUCCACUUAGCUGGACCAACGAGCUGCCAUGGCAACAUCAAGUCUUCCAACAUCCUGCUCACCGGUACCCACGACGCAUGUGUGUCGGAGCAUGGCCUGAUAACACUUGGCAUGUAUUCCAAUGCCCCCGGUUACCGUGCACCUGAGGUCACCCGCAAUAGGUGGGUCUCCCAGGAAUCUGACGUGUACAGCUUCGGCAUCCUACUGCUGGAGCUUCUCACCUGCAAGUCUCCACUGGAGAAGAGAUUUCAGGAUGACGGGGGAGUAGAUUUGCCACGGUGGGUGUGUUCCAUUACACCUGAGGAGUGGAGGGCAGAGGUAUUCGACGUGGAGCUCCUAGCACGGGGGCAGAAGGACGGGAAAGAGGAGUGCAUGGUGCGACUUAUGCAGCUCGGGCUAAAAUGUUGCAGUCAAGAUGCUGACUCGAGGCCUACAAUGUCUGAUGUCGCGCAGCGGAUUGAGGAGAUCGGACAGUCCUAA
rnacentral:rRNA from 1 species